CGGGAGCUAUGAUACGCAAAGAGUUGCAAAGAUUCAACUCCUUUGCCACUAAAGCUCCCUAAAUUAAAUUGAACUCUGAUGACUUUGGCACCAGGAAGGAACUGGCCAGAGACAGAUACGGUUCAGACAAUU